rnacentral:rRNA from 1 species
ACCCGUUGAUCCUGCGGGGGGUUGCUGCUAUUCGAAUUCCACUUAGCCAUGCAAGUCAGGUGACCUUCGGGUAAACUGGCUGAAUGCUCAGUAACACGUUGAUAAUCUAACCUAUGAUUUUACUAAGCCUCGGGAAACUGAGGGAUGUCGUUCGAUAGAAGAUUGAGGCUGGAAUGCACUUUCUUUGAACAUAGGAUGAGUCAGCGGCCGAUUAGGUUGUUGGUGGGGUAAUGGCCCACCAAGCCGACGAUCGGUAGGGGCCCUGAGAGGGGUAGCCUCGAGAAGGACACUGAGAAAAGGGUCCUAGCCCUACGGGGCAGCAGGCGGGAAACCUUUACAAUGCGCGCAAGCGUGAUAAGGGGAUUCGAAGUGCUUACGCUUCUGGCGUAGGCUUUUGCCAAGAUUAAAUCUCUUGGCGAAUAAGUGAUGGGAAAGACCGGUGCCAGCAGCCGCGGUAAUACCGGCGUCACGAGUGGCAACCGCAUUUACUUGGCCUAAAGCGUCUGUAGCAGGUUUGUUAAGUCUUAUGUGAAAUCGAGGUCCUCAAUACCUCGGCGUGCAUGAGAUACUGGCGAACUAGGGACCGGGAGGCGUAGAGGGUAUUUCAGGGUUAGCGGUAAAAUGUUUUGAUCCCUGAAGGACCGCCGAUGGCGAAGGCACUCUACGAGAACGGAUCCGACUGUGAGAGACGAAAGCUGGGGGAGCAAAACGGAUUAGAUACCCGCGUAGUCCCAGCCGUAAACGCUGUGCGUUGGGCGUUGCUGAAACUACGUGUUUCAGCAGUGUCGUAGCGAAGGCGAUAAACGCACCGCCUGGGAAGUACGGUCGCAAGACUGAAACUUAAAGGAAUUGGCGGGGGAGCACUACAAGGAGUGCUUCGUGCGGUUUAAUCGGAUUCCACACCGUGAAUCUUACUAGAAUCGCUGGCAGUAUGAUGGCCCAGCUGAAGACUGUGCCGGACGAGCCCAGAGGUGUUGCAUGGCCGCCGUCAGCUCGUGCUGUGAAGUGUCCUGUUAAGUCAGGUAACGAGCAAGACCCAUACCUACAAUUGCUACCAGAUACUCCGGUAUGACUGAGCACGUUGUAGGGACUGCCUUAGAAAUAAGGAGGAAGGUGUGGGCAACGGUAGGUCUGUAUGACCCUAAUAUUCUAGGCUACACGCGCGAUGCAAUGAUGAAGACAAUGGGACGCAACUCCGAAAGGAGAAGCUAAACCUUCAAACUUCAUCUUAGUACAGAUCGAGGACUGUAACUCGUCCUCGUGAAGCCGGAAUUCCUAGUAAUCGGACAUUAUCAGUGUCCGGUGAAUAUGUCCCUGCUCUUUGCACACACUGCCCGUCAAACCACCCGAGCAGGGCUUGGGUGAAGCGUAGUUUGUUGAUUACGUUGAAUCCAAGUUCAGUGAGGUGGGUUAAGUCGUCACAAGGUA